GGACAACCUGCCCUCGGGAGGGGGGAUAACCCCGAGAAAACUGGGCUAAACCCCCAUAGGUGAUGGAUACUGGAAUGUUCCAUCACCGAAAGUCCGCAAGGAGCCCGAGGAUGGGUCUGCGGCGGAUUAGGUAGUUGGUGGGGUAACGGCCCACCAAGCCUAAGAUCCGUACGGGCCAUGGGAGUGGGAGCCCGGAGAUGGACCCUGAGACAAGGGUCCAGGCCCUACGGGGCGCAGCAGGCGCGAAACCUCCGCAAUGCGGGAAACCGCGACGGGGUCAGCCGGAGUGCCGAUGCUUGCAUCGGCUGUCGGGGAGCCUAAAAAGCUCCCCAUAGCAAGGGCCGGGCAAGGCCGGUGGCAGCCGCCGCGGUAAUACCGGCGGCCCGAGUGGCGGCCACUAUUAUUGGGCUUAAAGCGUCCGUAGCCGGGUUGGUUAGUCUCCCGGGAAAUCUGGCCGCUUAACGGUCAGAAUUCCGGGAGAUACUGCCAGCCUAGGGACCGGGAGAGGCCGAGGGUAUUCCCGGAGUAGGGGUGAAAUCCUAUAAUCCCGGGAGGACCACCUGUGGCGAAGGCGCUCGGCUGGAACGGGUCCGACGGUGAGGGACGAAGGCCAGGGGAGCAAACCGGAUUAGAUACCCGGGUAGUCCUGGCUGUAAACGAUGCGGACUUUGUGUCGGACAAGCUAUGAGCUUGUCCGGUG
rnacentral:rRNA from 1 species